CUUCCCGGGCUUCUCAUAAGUGAAGGGCUAAAGUUCACACUCUUUAGCACUCUGUGAUUUCCCCUUAUCUUCUUUAUCUUAUCCUCACUUGCCCGUCUUUCCAGUUUUACCUUUGGCUCCUGGAAAUCCCACACCAGAGUCACCACAGCUGCCAAACAGAGUCUGGCUAUAUAGUCCUUGCUGGCUGGAACUUGCUACGUAGCCUAGGCUGGUCCCAUGGCGAUCCUCUUAUCUUAAACUCCUGAAAUAUGGAGAAAAUAUGUCUUUCUGUGUCUGGAAGGAUGCCAUGACCUUUCAGUUACGUCAGCACAGGAGCCAGCCAAGCGCCUAGCUUCUCGUGUUCGUCCUGGCUCUCUUUCCUCUUCACUGCUUCAGCAUGAGAUGAAAACCUUGGCUGAAGAUACACCCACGACAUCAGUAGUAAAGGAGGCUAAGAGGAGACAAAACCAGAGGUCCAGUAGUGAGUGAGACGGCGAGGAACCUGAGCUCUUAUUUGCCUAAAUGCAGUCGAACAAAGCCGCUGUGAUGUUUAUUGCUUUUACUCAUUAUGUUCAACAUUUACAGACUUAUUAAACAGAAGAAUCAUAAGCGUGUGCUUAGGUUCUGGGCCACUUUCCUGGCUUGGGUUAUCAAUUUAACUUAACACUAUCAACACAGUCCUAUUUUUCAAGUCUUAUGGCUUUUUUAU